AACCAAUAUAUAAUAGUGCGAGACAUUACUUUUGACAGCGUCCUCUGUACGGAGAUAUCAAUUCUCAAAUUAAUAUGGAAAAUACGAGUUUGUAUGGUGGAACGUCCACAGACGGGCCUGAGCGAGCUCUCCACGCCUUCCUACUAGCGAUAGUAGUUACCAGACUCUUAUAUGAUGCUUUGGAUGAUAGCAGAAAAUAGCUGAGAGACAGAGGAUAAAUAAAUAAACAAAAAGUAAAAAAUAAAAAUAACAAUUUGACAGUUUUUCAAGAGUUCAGCAUAGUCAGUUUGGAGUAGAUAGAUGAUUUUGUAAAUACAUACUAGUAAUUGGCAAUUGAUGAGCCUUUCAUUGCAAGUGCGCGG
rnacentral:sRNA from 1 species